CCUACGGGGGGCAGCAGUGAGGAAUAUUGGUCAAUGGGCGGAAGUCUGAACCAGCCAAGCAGCGUGCGGGAUGAAGGCCCUACGGGUUGUAAACCGCUUUUGCACGGGGAUAACACCCUCCACUUGUGGAGGUCUGCAGGUACCGUGCGAAUAAGGGCCGGCUAAUUCCGUGCCAGCAGCCGCGGUAAUACGGAGGGCCCGAGCGUUAUCCGGAUUCAUUGGGCUUAAAGGGAGCGUAGGCGGGCGUUCAAGUCAGCUGUAAAAUCGCGCGGCUCAACCGCGCCCCGCAGUUGACACUGGACGCCUUGAGUUCACAACAGGCAGGCGGAAUUGGUGGUGUAGCGGUGAAAUGCAUAGAGAUCACGAGGAACCCCGAUUGCGAAGGCAGCCUGCCGGGGUGCGACUGACGCUGAGGCUCGAAGGUGCGGGUAUCAAACAGGAUUAGAUACCCUUGUAGUC
rnacentral:rRNA from 1 species